GUCCACAGAAGUGAAGGGAUAAACCCUUAUCAGCUCUGGCCCAGCCCCUCACACAGCACACAGAGUCACUUAGGCUGAAAGAGGUAAACUGUUACAAGAUCUUCAAGGAACAAAGCCUGAUUAAGGAUAAUCUUGUAGAAAAUGUUACAUUUUUUUUGGAUGUAUUUAACAUGGGAAAUGUUGGGUUGACAAGAAAAACAGCCUUUUGUAGCUGAGGAGGCAGCAGGAAAAGGAGUUGCCAAAAGAGCCGUCAAGACUCUCCAAGUAAUUUGAUGUGUGGAGAAAAUAUGUCAAGAUUAUUGCAACUGCAUAUAGUAUAAGUUUUUUAGAAGGAAGUCAGAUGCUCCACUACGCCUGGGAUGCCCACAGAGAUUACUCUGGCCUUAUCACUGCUUUUUUGGAAAAGAGUGAAGAUGAAUGGUGGGAAAGUGAGGACACUUCUUGACUUCUUCUCUUCUCUGCUUGUAGUGGAGAUCAGCCAAAAAUCCAGCUCAUAUGCCAAGAAAGCCCAAACGAAUAGAUGAGUGGAAAAUACCAGAUGCUUAAAUUUGUCUUGGAUUUUCUCAAAACUGCUAAGACCGGUUUUCUCCUUAAUUAGCCAAAUACGGGAUGGAGUGCAUUUCUUUUUCAUGUACAGAUUUUUCUUGGAUCCUGUGGGUUAACCACCUCUAGAGCACUGCUGUCCCUGCCAGAGGAGGAGACAGAUGUGGCUUUCUUGGACAACACGAAGAGGAGAGAAGUGUGCAGAGGACAUCCCAUCCUCCUCACCCUCACCCACUGCUGCCCUGCCAGGAUUCCCCCAAGACUGAAAUUCCUGAGACUGCUGUUGUCUGGAAGCCAGUUUACAUUUCUGUCCUGAGAAGGAAUUACUCUCAAGGCAUGAUUUUUUCCAACUAGACAAGAUUUAUUUUCAGUCCAAGAGCUGUCUUUUGUACAGUGCUUAGUUUGUUGUGUCACUUGUAAUGACGACAGUAAUAUCUGGAAAAAGAGAUAACUAGAAAAGCCUGCAGCACUUGAUUAUUCUGCUCAGAAUAUCUGAUACAGCCCUUUCAGACAUCAGAUGGGAAGUUCCUGCAGAUCCCUAGCAAGCUGGCUCACCACCACUAUUCCCUGGUGAGCUGACCAUGUUUAACCACCCACCUGACAACGGGAGGAUUCCAAUCCCCAGAAUUUCCUGCGAGGUGCUGCACUGGCCACAGGGAGGAUGUGACCUUCAGGAAUGGGUGCUUGACAACCUUCACCUUCUGAAAAUUGAGAUUUAUGAUCCAGUGACUUGAACCUUUCCCUUUCAGGUAUUCUUGGUUACUAACUGAUCUGCAGCAAAUCACAAUAACAUUAAAUGUUCCAGGAAAUCAGUGUAUGUCAUCUCAAAUGAUAGAAUCUUGUUUAGCUACAUUCAUCUCAGAUUCCAGUUGUUUUGUUUCUGUGCAUGUCUGUGGAAUUACUCUGUUGGUUGUUUUUUUUUUCCUCAAAGAAGUACAGGUUCCUAAUCUCAUUGAUUUGGUUUCUUCAUUUUAGGUUAUGUUACAAAUUUCAAAUCAGAUUACAAGAAAAUCAGAUUAGUUCCUUGUGUUUAAACAGAACACUUAAAUGUCUGGACUUGGUACUUAAAAACUGAUGUUUUAGAGAAUUUGUUUGGUUUGGGUGUGCAGGAGGAGCAGAGCACUCAGCAUUGAAUGCACCACCCCUUAAUUUUCUUUCAAGGAGACUUUUCACAAUAAGUAAACAGUGGAUUAUACUAAUAGUCUGAGAAAGUAAUUUUCAGAAGUAUGCUCUGGCAGUUGAAAUAUCAGUGCUGUUUCAACUGUUUCAUUUGCCUUCUACAAAAAGGACCAUGAACGUGACAAAUCACACAUUCUGCACUCUGAGCUUGUUUUAUGUUCUGACACUUCCAAUACAUUGAUUUUCUUAUUCAUCAUUACCAGAAGAAAGAGAUUAGUUUUAUGAAAAUUAGACAAUGGAGUCACAUUUCUGGGAAACAUUACUCAUUAGAAUCAGAUGCCUCCCUUUAGUAUCAAAAACAUCUAAUUACUUAUGAGAACUUCACCUUUCAGCAGAAGAUGUUAUUUCUCUAAAUGGGAGCCUAAAUAUCCUUUCUUUUUAUUGUUUUGUUGAUAAAUGUUAAUAACAAUAUUUCUUUUUCUAGUCAUCUGCAGAUAUUAAACACUUAAUGUGGCACUGAAUAUUUAUGCUAUAUGGAAGAAGUAGUGCUUAAGAAGUUCACUGAAGAAUUAAGCGAAAAAGUUAAAGUAAAAAGCAUUCCAUUCUUAAUGCUUCUGAUAUUAAAAAGUAAAGGAAAAAACCACCCAACCCUCAGUGAAAAAGUGGUGCAGUUUAUAUAUCUCAGCGAGGAAAAAGGAUAAUAAAAGCAUUUUGCAUAAUAUAUAGGUGGGCUUUUUUCCUAAUUAGUUGCUCACACCUCAUUGACAAAUGAAAAGAAUGGUCUUUGAUAUUUAAACUCUGAUACGGACUUCGACUGGGGAUUUAACUGUUUCUAGCCUUUUAUAUUGUUUUCUUGUGACUUUAGUGCUCUCAGGUUCAUCUAUGGCCAUCCAAUGCUCUGCAAUUAAACCAGAUACGUGUGACUGUAUCUGGAGAAUUUAAUUGAAGGGGUGUUUUUUUCAGCUGAGAACACCUCCUUUUCGAUGUUUUGCUUCUUUCCCAAGAGUUAAUCUGAAUUUUCUUGGAGGUACAGCACGUUUCCCAAAGGGACCCGUUAACUGAGAGCGGCCGUGCAGGAGGGAGCAGCUUGGCCACACGGUGGAGCGGUGGGAUCUCUGCAGGGAGAAAUCCGAGCGCUGCCUGCCUGCCAGCAUCCUCCAGCACGGAGGGAUGCUGCAAGUCCUCUGAGUUCUCCUGGGAGCCGCAAUAAGGGUGGGAAUGGUUUUUGCCCCCGCCCAGGUCUGGAAGCAGCAUCUAAUGGUGAAAUUAAUUACCAGGGCGUUUCAUUCAGGGCAGCAAUUCCAGUUUGCCUUCAGCAUCAGCACUGCACCCUCAUCCUCGUGUCACAUGCAGGUGAAGGGGUUCUCAUCCCGCUGAUCGCUCCUGGAUGCAUUGAAUUCUUCACAAAAAUACAUUUACGGUACAGACAGGGGCAGGGCGCUGUCCUCACCCUUUUCCCCCCUUACACAGCUCAUGAAGUGCUUUGCCUUCCUCCAGGCUCAUCUUGGGCAAUGCUUGGCUGGGACCACACAGAAGGGAAAGGCUAAGGACCAGCAGCAGAUCAGGGACAUUGCUUAAUAAGAUGCUAAUACAUUCUCUUUAACAUGGAAGCCCUCCCAGAGUGGAUAUUAAGGCAAAGAGCUUUUGGCAUUUGUGCAGAGUUAAGGGAACAUCUGUGUUUGUGAUGGCAGAGGAUUCAUUGUGUGACAAUAGAAAUGGAGCCUCGAAGGAAAAUCCUUUUAUUCAUAAAAAGUAAGACUUGUUAUAACAACUUUUACUCGUGUUCUUUUUGUGUGUUUUUUUUUUUUCCAGAUGUCACCACUUGCAUAACUUUUUCUUUCCUAUUGAUAUGUUAUCUGUUCAAAAACAGUACACAUCC